rnacentral:rRNA from 1 species
AUUGAACGCUGGCGGCAGGCCUAACACAUGCAAGUCGAGCGGAUGAAGGGAGCUUGCUCCUGGAUUCAGCGGCGGACGGGUGAGUAAUGCCUAGGAAUCUGCCUGGUAGUGGGGGAUAACGUCCGGAAACGGGCGCUAAUACCGCAUACGUCCUGAGGGAGAAAGUGGGGGAUCUUCGGACCUCACGCUAUCAGAUGAGCCUAGGUCGGAUUAGCUAGUUGGUGGGGUAAAGGCCUACCAAGGCGACGAUCCGUAACUGGUCUGAGAGGAUGAUCAGUCACACUUGAACUUGGACACCGUCCCGGCUCCUACGGGAGGCCGCAGUGGGGAAUAUUUGACAAUGGGCGGAAGCCUUGUCCAGCCCUGCCGCGUGUGUUGAGGAGGUCUUCGGAUUGUAAAGCACUUUAAGUUGGGAGGAAGGGCAGUAAGUUAAUACCUUGCUGUUUUGACGUUACCAACAGAAUAAGCACCGGCUAACUUCGUG